CUUUAUUGCGAUUAAACCGGUUACCAAUGUAAUUAGAGCAGUAAAAAUACAUGUUUUUUCAUACCCGUGGUAUACGGUCUGGCUUUCAGGGCUCGAACCACCCAGUUUAUAAUCCAAGAUAAGCAAUUUCGGAACCAUGCCAAUAUUAAAAUCUUCAAGAGUACAGUAUCUAGUCACCGUUAAGACAAAUGUUUGUCUUACGUAUGCAAUGUAGGAACGGAAAUAGUCGGUCCUGCGUACUUGCGGCGUUUGUAAUUGCGGGACAACACUAGCUAGGAUCAACAUUCUGCAUAGCUAUUUGUAGUUCUUGUAUUGCCUCGGGUAUGUCUUGGGCUUUAUGGGAUACUUCCCAGGUCCAGAUUAAACCUACUCCUGGAUUGAAAAUAGGCUUCUAUUGGGGGACUCUAUUGAAAAUACUUUUUCAUCCUGGAGUAAGAUUUUUCUUGGUCUGGGAUACCAGUCCUGUAAAUUAAUUGUAAACCAGGACUAUACAGACAAUACUGACCAAAGGCGUGUUUUUGUAACGUAGCGAACUAGGCUAGUGGAAUUAUUCCAUCUCAACAGCUACGUAUGUAAUGCUCAUAUCCUCUGAUUUAUUUUCAAGAAGUGUGCUAUUUUUUCCUGCAUGCCUCACGUUUUCACUCAAAAUAGUAUCCUAGCAUCCAGAAAGGAAAAGCAUUUUCAAAUGUUUCUGUGUCUUAUCUAAUUAAGUGAAGAUUCAACCUCUGGUUUUGUAAAGUAUUUUUACUUAAAUCAGGGAUGGGCAACUGGCGGCCGGCCCCCCUUUUGAAGGCCCUUGGAUCCUUACCCCCCCUCCCCUCUAAACUUGUUAUCACGGUCGAAUUACUGGCAGGGGGGCCCCAUUUAUUUUGUUAGUCAGUCUCACUCAAAUAUCAUGUUAAAAACUGCAAACAUUUCUCUCCACCCUUUUGCAAAAUAUGUAGAAUUGCAGGAAAUGAGCUGUAAAACAGCUCAUUUUCCUCUCCGGCCCAUGGCAAAAUGAGGGGCAAUUUUUUUGUGUGGUCCUCACCCUUAUCAAAGUUGUCCAUCCAUGACCUAGGUGGAUGAUUGGAAUAAAAAAUAAUGUUUCCUGUUUCACCGUUGUUCGCCGAGUUCUUGGUUAAAGACUGCAAUAUAGUUGGCUAUACGAGCUCUGUUCAUUCUGUGAAGCUUUAGGGCUUAAAGCCUUCGUUCUGGUUGUUCUUCUCCUGUAAUCUCAAAAUAAAAAUAUGCAGUCUUGUAUUUUCAUGUUAUGUCCAAUAAAUGAGUCAAGGAUCUCACACAACCAAGAGUGUAAUAAUAAAAAAAACGGAUCUAAUAUGAAAGUUGGCGGGAAAAUCUAUAAGGCAUUUAAAAAUGAAACGCCGAUGUGAGCAUCGUAAAUGCAUCCAUGAAGUAAUAUUCCUUUUAACACAGACGCAAUUAACCUUCCAGUUCAUAAGAGUCACUGUGAGUGCCUAACAUAAAAUGGAUUGGCUGAUUGAUUGAUUGAUUGAACUUUAUUAGUCAUGUUAAAAUCAUGAGUUUGUAAGUGUUUUAGUGGAUGUGAUGUGAUAUAGUGAGUCCAUGGAAUAUUAAUCUCAAAAUAUCCAAAAGUCCUUUAUGAAAUUAAAUAUUACCCAAGUUUUUACAAUACUUUCCCGCUCUCACCACUUUAAAAUAUUGUAAACUGGGUAAAAUAAUUAUUAUUUUUUACAAUAUUUUGUUAGCGACCCCAAAAAAAAGACAUAUCUUAAACUGGCUGUUUUCUUUGUUAUCUGACAAGAUAACAACUAAAAUAUGAUGAUAUCAUGAUAUCGUAUCUUUACUUGGUUGUAAUCUGGUUAUUUCUGGCCAGAUAACAACAAAAAAUAUGUUGUCUUGAUGAUAUUGUGUCUUUACUUGGUUGUAAUCUGGUUAUUUCUGGCCAGAUAACAACAAAAAAUAUGAUGUCUUGAUGAUAUUGUGUCUUUACUUGGUUGUAAUCUGGUUAUUUCUGGCCAGAUAACAACAAAAAAUAUGAUGUCUUGAUGAUAUUGUGUCUUUACUUGGUUGUAAUCUGGUUAUGUGAUGUCUACAACCAGGAAAACAGUUUAAAACCAGAAAAUGUCUUCAUUAUAACAUCGCAUGCCACCUUUUAACCAUUGGGAUGAUCAACUGUAAAUCAGAGUGAGAAUAUAUGAAAGAAAAGUACAUAUUUUCACCCAGUGUCACCUUUCAAGACGCAGCUGUUAUGUGAGUUGAAAUAAUCAUUCAGUAGAAUGUAAUUCCUUUGUUUGAUGUCCUGAAGCUACUGUAGGACUAAAGCUACUGUAGGACUAAAGCUACUGUAGGACUAAAUGGGUGUUAUAUGCAUGUUUGUGUAUUUUUUUAUAUUUUUUUUCAAUGCAUACUGUUGAUAUUCAUGUUUUGCCAAUGUGAGGAGAAUACAUAUUUCAGUGAAUUGCAGGGGUUGUUUGAAAUUUUUAUUGUUAAAACCAAAAAAGAUAAGAAAAGUUAUGAAAAUUAAUAUGUAAAUGAAUAUGUUCAGGGCAUCAGCCAUUAAAGAUUGAUGUUGCCAUUGUUGUUGCCUUGCUUUUUCUGUUGAGUGACAUGCAC
rnacentral:lncRNA from 1 species